rnacentral:lncRNA from 1 species
GGAUGUUUAGUUUUGUUGUUAUAGUCACUGCGCAAACAACUUUAUCAUUUUAUAUAUAUAGACUAGCUGUGCCCGGCCACGCGUUGCUGUGGCUUAGUCUGGUGUUGGUCAGUCUACAUUAGGUUGUAUUUAUGCUGUGACCUCCACCCUUCUUUAUACUCACAUUAGUAGUAGUAUUUGAAGUCUGUUACCGUCUUCAAUUUUUGUGUUGAUUGAUAAUUGCUUGAGAUCCCUGUUGUCUUUGAUUUGUUGUUAAUUGUAAUGUCUGAUUCUGCUGAGUGCGGUUUAUAUUUUUAUUGUGGUACAAUAGUCCUUUUUUUGUUUUGCCUGUGUAGGUGUUUAUUAUUAUUGUUGUUGUUGUGGUCAUGAAGGUUGGAUAAGUUAGAUGCUACUGUAUUGUUUUUUGGAGGUCCAGUGUAGCACUGACUGGCCUCUCAGCCUCAGUGCCUGGCUGUUUCUUGCCUGUGAUGGUGUUGAUUCUUAUUGUUGUUGUUGUUGUCAUUGUUAUUAUUGUAAUUGUUUUUUUGGAGGCCAAGUGUGAAUGUAGGGAUUGGGGAGCUGGAUGAGUUGUGUUGUCAAAUUUUGUAUUUGUAAUAGUCACAAUGCGUUGUUGUGAGUUUUGUGGGUCCGGAUUGUGGUUUUGUGGUGUGGUUGUGUUGUUACAACUGAGAGGCAAGGCUUUUGUGUUGUGUGCCAAGUUUUGUAUUUCUGGGGCGUUUAGUUGUGUUGUUAUAGUCAUGAUACGUUAUUGUGAGUUUUGUGGGUCCGGAUUGUGGUUUUGUGUUGUGGUUGAGUUCCUACAACUGGGAGGCAAGGCUUUUGCGUUGUGUGCCAAGUUUCGUAUUUCUGGGACGUUUAGUUGUGUUGUUAUAGUCAUGAUGCGUUGUUGUGAGUUUUGUGGGUCCGGAUUGUUGUUUUGUGGUGUAGUUGUGUUGUUACAACCGGGAGAAAAGGCUUUUGUGUUGUGUUGUCAAGUUUCGUAUUUCUGGGGCGUUUAGUUGUGUUGUUAUAGUCACAAUGCAUUGUUGUGAGUUUUGUGGGUCCAGAUUGUGGUUUUGUGGUGUGAUUGUGUUGUUACAACCGGGAGGCAAGGUUUUUGCAUUGUGUUGUGAAGCUUUAUAUUUCUGGGGCUUUUUAGUUGUGUGCCAAGUUUCGUAUCUCUGGGACGUUUAGUUGUGUUGUUAUACUCAUGAUGCAAUGAAGUGAGUUUCGUGGGUCCAGAUCGAGAUCUGCGGUCGGAGUGUGCGUGAUACCACCCGAGA